rnacentral:rRNA from 1 species
GAUGAACGCUGGCGGCGUGCCUAAUACAUGCAAGUCGAGCGGACGGACGCUAAGCUUGCGUCUCUGAUGUUAGCGGAGGACGGGAGAGUAACACGUGGAUAACCUACCUAUAAGACUGGGAACACUUCGGGAAACCGGCGCUAACAGCGUAUAAUAUUUUGCACCGCAUGGUGCAAAGGUGAAAGUCGGUCUUGCUGUCUCUUCUAGAUGCAUCCGCGCUGCUUUAGCUAGUUGGUAAGGUCACGGCUUACCAAGGCAACGAUGCAUAGCCGAGCUCAGGGGCUGAUAGCCCACACGGGAGCUGAGACGGGGUCCAGACGCCUACGGGAGGCAGCAGAAGGGAACGGUCCGCAGUGGGCGGAAGUCUGACGGAGCGACGCCGAGUGAGAGGUGAAGGUCUUCGGUGCGUAAUACUCUGUUAUUAGGGAAGAACAGAUGUGGAAGUAGCUGUGCAGAGCGUGACGGUACCUGAUCAGAAAGCCACGGCUAACUACGUG